rnacentral:rRNA from 1 species
AUUGAACGCUGGCGGCAGGCCUAACACAUGCAAGUCGAGCGGAUGAAGGGAGCUUGCUCCUGGAUUCAGCGGCGGACGGGUGAGUAAUGCCUAGGAAUCUGCCUGGUAGUGGGGGAUAACGUCCGGAAACGGGCGCUAAUACCGCAUACGUCCUGAGGGAGAAAGUGGGGGAUCUUCGGACCUCACGCUAUCAGAUGAGCCUAGGUCGGAUUAGCUAGUUGGUGGGGUAAAGGCCUACCAAGGCGACGAUCCGUAACUGGUCUGAGAGGAUGAUCAGUCACACUGGAACUGAGACACGGUCCAGACUCCUACGGGAGGACGCAGUGGGGAAUAUUGGACAAUGGGCGAAAGGCUGAUCCAGCCAUGCCGCGUGUGUGAAGAAGGUCUUCGGAUUGUAAAGCACUUUAAGUUGGGAGGAAGGGCAGUAAGUUAAUACCUUGCUGUUUUGACGUUACCAACAGAAUAAGCACCGGCUAACUUCGUG